rnacentral:rRNA from 1 species
UACAGAGGUCUCGAGCGUUAGGCGGAAUCACUGGGCUUAAAGCGUGUGUAGGCGGCCACGUAAGUCGGAUGUGAAAGCCCCGGGCUCAACCCGGGAAGUGCACUCGAUACUGCGUGGCUUGAGUACUGGAGAGGUUGGUGGAAUUCUCGGUGUAGAGGUGAAAUUCGUAGAUAUCGAGAGGAACACCGGUGGCGAAGGCGGCCAACUGGACAGAUACUGACGCUGAGACACGAAAGCGUGGGGAGCAAACAGG